UGAGGAAUCUUCCACAAUGGGCGAAAGCCUGAUGGAGCAACGCCGCGUGAAGGAUGAAGGCCUUCGGGUUGUAAACUUCUUUUAUGAGUGAAGAAUAUGACGGUAACUCAUGAAUAAGCACCGGCUAACUACGUGCCAGCAGCCGCGGUCAUACGUAGGGUGCAAGCAUUAUCCGGAGUGACUGGGCGUAAAGAGUUGCGUAGGCGGUUUAAUAAGUGAAUAGUGAAACCUGGUGGCUCAACCAUACAGACUAUUAUUCAAACUGUUAAACUCGAGAAUGGUAGAGGUAACUGGAAUUUCUAGUGUAGGAGUGAAAUCCGUAGAUAUUAGAAGGAACACCGAUGGCGUAGGCAGGUUACUGGGCCAUUUCUGACGCUAAGGCACGAAAGCGUGGGGAGCGAACC
rnacentral:rRNA from 3 species